GGGACUAAUUAAAAACUUUUAAUUACAAAGGACUAAUUAGCGUUUUCGUCCACUCUUCGCGCGGGAAGCACAAGCGACAACGCCUCAGUAGCAAAGUUACAUGAUGAAGCGCGGUCGAUUUUGUGUGUGGUUGGUGCUGGAAUAUUACUCCUUAUCAGUUUGUCUCUUUGGAACAAUAUUCAGAUGCAGAAUUGUUGUUGAUGUUGAAAUUGAAGAUGCUAAGACACGAUGUAACGAAACCGAGGGAAAAUCUACAGCUUUCAGUUGACAAGGCAGUAUACUACGUCAUCAAUAAGAGAAAUUCGUCUGAGUGAGAUAGAAGCCUAUCGAGUCUGACCAGCAAAGCAAUUUUCCCCAACACUGAUUGAAAGUUAGCAAGACAGUACAUCAGUUCAUCAAAAGAAUUGCCUCGUCAUUUGCCUGGUAUUCAUCACUGAUUGAGAUAGAAGCCUAUCGAGUCUGGUCACCAAAGCAAACAUUUAAGAGACUGCUUGAACGUUAGAAAGACAGUACAUCAAUUUCUUCAAAAGAAUUUCGUCGUGGUCAUUUGUCUGAUAUUCAUCACUGAUCAAGAUGGAAGCCCAUCGAGUCUGGCUAGCAGAGCAACUUUCCCCAACACUGAUUGAAAGUUAGCAAGACAGUACAUCAGUUCACCAAAAGAAUUGCCUCGUCAUUUGCCUGGUAUUCAUCACUGAUUGAGAUAGAAGCCUAUCGAGUCUGGUCACCAAAGCAACCUUUUAAGAGACUGCUUGAACGUUAGAAAGCCAGUACAUCAAUUUCAUCAAAAUAAUUUCGUCGUGGUCAUUUGUCUGAUAUUCAUCACUGAUCAAGAUGGAAGCCCAUCGAGUCUGGCCAGCAGAGCAAUUUUCCCCAACACUGAUUGAAAGUUAGCAAGACAGUACAUCAUUUCAUCAAAAGAAUUGCCUCGUCAUUUGCCUGGUAUUCAUCACUGAUUGAGAUAGAAGCCUAUCGAGUCUGGUCACCAAAGCAACCUUUUAAGAGACUGCUUGAACGUUAGAAAGACAGUACAUCAAUUUCAUCAAAAGAAUUUCGUCGAGGUCAUUUGUCUGAUAUUCAUGAUCAAGAUGGAAGCCCAUCGAGUCUGGCCAGCAGAGCAAGUAUGUA